CUGCAGCCGAGUCCCGCCAUGCUCCGCGGUGCUAACGGCCUUUGGCGGGAAAGGCGCCGGGGGCGGAGCCAGAUGAUGCUGAGCUGUUGCUCCGGAAACCUGCGCUUCGUCGGCGCUUCGGCUUGGUUGGCGGAGUGGCAGACACCGUGGCACACCUAUGAAAGUCAGAAAAUGAGUCAGUUCACCCUCCACCCCUACCGUGUGAGCCCCGAGAUGAAACUGGAGGCUUUGGAAGAGCACCCUCACUGCAUGAGCCGUCCUGCUGCCCUUUACGUUAUUGAUCAUCUACAGCAGUCCUGAAAUGGAACUAUUAAAUAUUAAGACUGGCUGAAGAAAUCAAGGCAAUGAGAGUGGGGAGGGGCAGAGGCAGAGGGGUUUCUAGGCAAAAUGCCUGAAGUGAAAACCUAUGGAAUUCCUGGGAGAAACUACAAAUUUGACUAAAAGUCACAGUAAAGAAAGGAACACAGUAUAUGCAAAAUUUUAAAUGACUUUAAAUGCAAAUAAACAGUUCAAGAAAGGAC